rnacentral:rRNA from 1 species
AUACGAAUGGUGCAAGCGUUGUUCGGAAUCACUGGGCAUAAAGCGCUCGUAGGCGGUGGUAUAAGUCAGUUGUGAAAUCCCUCGGCUCAACCGAGGAACUGCAACUGAAACUGUGCCGCUGGAGUGCGGGAGGGGAGAACGGAAUUCCUGGUGGAGCGGUGAAAUGCGUAGAUAUCAGGAGGAACGCCGGAGGCGAAAGCGGUUCUCUGGCCCGCCACUGACGCUGAGGAGCGAAAGCUAGGGGAGCGAACAGGAUUAGAAACCCCGGUAGUCC